GGGUUUCAGUCUGAUAAGGGAGACAACAUUUUCUGCACCGAUGUCUAACACGUUCAGAAAGGAAGAGAAUGAGAAAAAGAGAAGAUUUUGGACGCAUUGGAAAAAAUCGGCAGGUUCGUUUUAAUAAAGAUUUUCUGCAAAAGAUGCGAGGAAGGGCUUUAUGCAGACAAGAAAUUAAAGGCUGCAGUGUGGAGCCUGCUGCUCAUGGAGCCACUGCGGAGAGUCUUGUGCCAACAGCAGCAUAUGGUGACAUUGGUUUAGGGACGGAGUUGUAAAACAGCAGGAAAUUCUAUUAUCAGCCGUGGAGGUCCACCCUCUGAGGCUGCUUUGAAUCCAUAUUUCUCCAUAACGAGCAGGAGCUCGCAGGGAUAAAUCCAGUUAGAGGGAAUUUGGAGAGAAACGCGCAUCGUUUUGGAGAAAG